rnacentral:rRNA from 1 species
CCUACGGGAGGCAGCAGUGGGGAAUAUUGGACAAUGGGCGAAAGCCUGAUCCAGCAAUGCCGCGUGAGUGAUGAAGGCCUUAGGGUUGUAAAGCUCUUUUACCAGGGAUGAUAAUGACAGUGCCUGGAGAAUAAGCUCCGGCUAACUCCGUGCCAGCAGCCGCGGUAAUACGGAGGGAGCUAGCGUUGUUCGGAAUUACUGGGCGUAAAGCGUACGUAGGCGGUUAUUCAAGUCAGAGGUGAAAGCCUGGAGCUCAACUCCAGAACUGCCUUUGAAACUAGAUAGCUAGAAUCACGGAGAGGUUAGUGGAAUUCCGAGUGUAGAGGUGAAAUUCGUAGAUAUUCGGAAGAACACCAGUGGCGAAGGCGACUAACUGGACGUGUAUUGACGCUGAGGUACGAAAGCGUGGGGAGCAAACAGGAUUAGAUACCCUGGUAGUCCACGCCGUAAACGAUGAUAACUAGCUGUUCGGUCUCUACGAGACUGAGUGGCGCAGCUAACGCAUUAAGUAUCCGCCUGGGAGUACGGUGCAAGNUUAAAACUCAAAUGAAAUUGAGG